UACGGGGGGAGCAAGCGUUGUUCGGAUUUACUGGGCGUAAAGGGCGCGUAGGCGGUCGUGACAAGUCACUUGUGAAAUCUCUGGGCUUAACCCGGAGCGGCCAAGUGAUACUGUCGUGCUAGAGUGCGGAAGGGGCUACUGGAAUUCUCGGUGUAGCGGUGAAAUGCGUAGAUAUCGAGAGGAACACCUGCGGCGAAGGCGGGUAGCUGGGCCGACACUGACGCUGAGGCGCGAAAGCCAGGGGAGCGAACGGG
rnacentral:rRNA from 1 species